rnacentral:tRNA from 1 species
ACUUCGAUAGCUCAGUUGGCAGAGCGGGGGACUGUAGUUGUUCGCAGUAAUAAUCUCUAGGUCACUGGUUCGAAUCCGGUUCGAAGGA